rnacentral:rRNA from 1 species
AUUGAACGCUGGCGGAAUGCUUUACACAUGCAAGUCGAACGGCAGCAUAGAGAGCUUGCUCUCUGAUGGCGAGUGGCGAACGGGUGAGUAAUAUAUCGGAACGUGCCUAGUAAUGGGGAAUAACUAGCUGAAAGGUUAGCUAAUGCCGCAUACGACCUACGGGUGAAAGCAGGGGAUCUUCGGACCUUGCGUUAUUAGAGCGGCCGAUAUCUGAUUAGCUUGUUGGUGGGGUAAUGGCCUACCAAGGCGACGAUCAGUAGCUGGUCUGAGAGGACGAUCAGCCACACUGGAACUGAGACACGGUCCAGACUCCUACGGGAGGCAGCAGUGGGGAAUUUUGGACAAUGGGGGCAACCCUGAUCCAGCCAUUCCGCGUGAGUGAAGAAGGCCUUCGGGUUGUAAAGCUCUUUCGCAAGAGAAGAAAACUUGCUAUCUAAUAAAUAGUAAGUAUGACGGUAUCUUGACAAGAAGCACCGGCUAACUACGUGCCAGCAGCCGCGGUAAUACGUAGGGUGCAAGCGUUAAUCGGAAUUACUGGGCGUAAAGCGUGCGCAGGCAGUUUUAUAAGUCAGAUGUGAAAUCCCCGAGCUCAACUUGGGAACUGCGUUUGAAACUGUAAGACUAGAGUGUGUCAGAGGGGGGUAGAAUUCCAAGUGUAGCAGUGAAAUGGGUAGAGAUUUGGAGGAAUACCAAUGGCGAAGGCAGCCCCCUGGGAUAACACUGACGCU